rnacentral:rRNA from 1 species
GUAGGUGGCAAGCGUUGUCCGGAAUUAUUGGGCGUAAAGCGCGCGCAGGCGGUUCUUUAAGUCUGAUGUGAAAGCCCACGGCUCAACCGUGGAGGGUCAUUGGAAACUGGAGAACUUGAGUACAGAAGAGGAAAGCGGAAUUCCACGUGUAGCGGUGAAAUGCGUAGAGAUGUGGAGGAACACCAGUGGCGAAGGCGGCUUUCUGGUCUGUAACUGACGCUGAGGCGCGAAAGCGUGGGGAGCAAACAGGGAUUAGAUACCCUGGUAGUCCACGCCGUAAACGAUGAGUGCUAAGUGUUAGGGGGGUUUCCGCCCCCUUAGUGCUGCAGCCAACGCAUUAAGCACUCCGCCUGGGGAUACGGCCGCAAGGCUG